rnacentral:lncRNA from 1 species
GGAGACUAAAGGAUAAGACAUAAAAUUAUAGAAUGGUGUAGUGAAAUUUGAAACCAAAAAUUAUAAAAUUCAAUCAAAAUAUAUCAACUGAAAACAUAAGACAAUAAAAAGUUAAAAGCAUAUUUUGGAUGAAUGAAGAAUACCUAGAGAAACCAACAUGGGUUGUGAUGCAGUGGAUGUGGCUGUUCCACUUUUAACCAGAGGUUGAGAGUUCGAUCCUGUGUAUGGAUAAAACUCUGUUAGAAGUGCUGCCAUCUUAAUGGUCCCUACAAUGCGUGAUCCAGAUUAAUCGGGCUCCAAUACGGACAUCGGACAACCGUAUGGAAAAAAAAAAAAAAGAAGAAUACCUAGAGAAACUGAACAAAACUAUGAUAUGUCUGUUUAUUUCAAGGGUUAAAAGACACGUUGCAUAAACUGUGUUUAAAAUCUAAAAUAUCCUUAUGCUAAUUUAAAAAAGAAAACUAGAAGGAACGUUCUUUUCUCUCUCAUAUCUUUCAUGCAAAAACCCUUAAAAAAAACUCAACUUUUACCAGAUUCUAUCGCCACAAGAGCCACCCCUCGACAAUUGGUAAGAUAUCUUAAAUGUCGCCUGACCUACUCCAAGAAUUAUAUCACCCAAAGAGCCCACCAUUAUCAAAAAAUCAAAACCCUUAAUCCAGAUAUUGCCUACGGUUGAUUUGCCUAGCAAGGAUGGGAAUACUGAAUCCAGUGGUGAUUUGUAUAAUCAGAGGGGCAAAAUACAAUAUGUGGAUUUAGUUAAACCAAUCAAUAUUAAUGUGUAAGGCAAAUAAAAUAUGGAGCAGUCGGAUCUAUUCCUGUCAAUAGUUUGUCAUACAACAACAGUGUUCCUAGGGUAACAGGAACUGAAGAGGAGGUACUAAAGAUAAAUGUAAUAAAGAGUUUGCAGUAUGCAAUUAUUGAAAUUUUUUUGUAUAGGUGGCUUGAGUUAGAGGAGCUCAGACUUCAAAUGUCAAAAUAGUGUAAGGUACAAAGGGAAUUGUAAGAUUGGCUUUUGGAAUAGGCAUAUCCUCAUGAGAUUUAAACUUAUUGAGGAUUAUGUAAAUAUAUUAUCAAAAAAUGAACAUUGUAUUAUGGCAAAGGAUGGAAUCUUAUCAGAUGACACCACUCAUAUAUGAAACAAGGUUUACAUUUGAUGAAGAAAUCACUCAGGCUAUGACAUGGAUCUUCUUCCUAGAUUUAUUGCCUACUUUUUUUUAAAAAAAAAGUCUACUUUUUCACUUGAUACGGAUGUAGGAAAACCAAUGCAUUUAGAUAUGACAACAAUCAACAAGAUAUGAUCAAGUUGUACCUGGGUGAAAAUUUAAGUUGAUUUGGCAAGUGAGGUGUCGGAGUAUGUGGAGCUAGAGGUUGUUGGGAGCUGUGAGAAGGGGUUGAGGACUGAAAAAAUCAAAAUUCAAUAUGACUUUCUUCAAAAAUACUAUAAAAAAUUACAAACUACAGGUUCAAAAUGAAGAGGGAUAUAUUAUGUCCAAGAAGAGAUAAUUAAAGCAGAAGAAGAAAAAGUGAGUCCCAAGCGGGAUAGCAGGCCUAGAACCUAUCGGGGGUAGAAGAGGGACACAAAAAGGUGGAAUUCUACAAGUAGAUUUGUGGUUGAAAUAAAUCCAACUACUUGAGUGAUAAAAAUGUCUUACCAAGAGAAAAGAAUGUCCAUUCAGAUAACCCUUUUCAAACCUUAGCUGAUGUGAAUGAUAAUGAGGAGUAGGUGGGAAGUGC